AUACGGAGGAUGCGAGCGUUAUCCGGAUUUAUUGGGUUUAAAGGGAGCGUAGGUGGGAUAUUAAGUCAGCUGUGAAAGUUUGCGGCUCAACCGUAAAAUUGCAGUUGAUACUGGCUGUCUUGAGUACAGUAGAGGUGGGCGGAAUUCGUGGUGUAGCGGGGAAAUGCUUAGAUAUCACGAAGAACUCCGAUUGCGAAGGCAGCUCACUGGACUGCAACUGACACUGAUGCUCGAAAGUGUGGGUAUCAAACAGGAUUAGAUACCCUGGUAGUCCACACAGUAAACGAUGAAUACUCGCUGUUUGCGAUAUACAGUAAGCGGCCAAGCGAAAGCAUUAAGUAUUCCACCUGGGGAGUACGCCGGCAACGGUGAAACUCAAAUGAAUUGGCGGGG
rnacentral:rRNA from 1 species